AUGACAGCCGAUUUCCCAAAGAAGAAAACCCUAAACGUGCGCAGCCAUCUCUUCUCCACAGCAGUCCUCAGAUCCUCUCCACUCUCCUCACACAUCCAUUUUAUCCUCAGCUUCUUUAAUCCUGCAAGUCAGCAACUCGCAACAAAGUUUGAAACUUGUUUGGAUCGAUUUUUUGUUGCUCUACCUAUCCUGAAUGCAAAGCCUAAAAUGGAGGACGAUGGGAAGAAUUUGGUGGCGAGAAGUGGAAUAUAAAAUUUUGGUGGCUAGAAUUUUAGUGGGUUGCAAUUUUGUAAAUUGGGUUUUCCAUUUCUCCAGACAUUGGAACAUAUUGUACAGAAAAUCGUGGUUAUGUCUUAAACACAACAGAUUGACCAAAGCAUGUUGUUCGGAAGAGAUAUCUUAACGCUAACAAAGGAUUGGACAAACACGUUGGAACGAGGAAACCACCAAACAGGUUAUUUAUAUGUGUGUGUUUUUUUUUUUUUGUUGGGAUGGUGCUAACACUUAGUUGUAUUUAAUUUUUUUUGUAAAUAACUUAAUCAAAGUUUAUUUACUAGUUUUGUUGUAAAUAAUUGUAAUUACUAAAUUUAUAAAUAACUUAACCAAAGUUCCGUUA